CGCAUAGAAGUUCUUGGUUGGUGGGUGAGCAGUUGGAUGAAGCUGUUUCUCACUGACUUGGACUUUCCCAACCUGCUGAACCUGGACAUAACAUGUCUGCAAUAAGAAACACAAGAAUUCCUAAUAGGAAGAAAUGGGGAAUGCACUCAGGAUGUCAAUGGGACCUGGGAAACUCUUCUGUAGCAAGAUACUUUUUCUUAAUUGUUUCCACAAAACUAUGGAGCCAUUAAAAGAUUUGUUUGGA